rnacentral:rRNA from 1 species
GAUGAACGCUGGCGGCGUGCCUAAUACAUGCAAGUCGAGCGACGGACGAGAAGCUUGCUUCUCUGAUGUUAGCGGCGGACGGGUGAGUAACACGUGGAUAACCUACCUAUAAGACUGGGAUAACUUCGGGAAACCGGAGCUAAUACCGGAUAAUAUUUUGAACCGCAUGGUUCAAAAGUGAAAGACGGUCUUGCUGUCACUUAUAGAUGGAUCCGCGCUGCAUUAGCUAGUUGGUAAGGUAACGGCUUACCAAGGCAACGAUGCAUAGCCGACCUGAGAGGAUGAUCGGCCACACUGGAACUGAGACACGGUCCAGACUCCUACGGGAGGCAGCAGUAGGGAAUCUUCCGCAAUGGGCGAAAGCCUGACGGAGCAACGCCGCGUGAGUGAUGAAGGUCUUCGGAUCGUAAAACUCUGUUAUUAGGGAAGAACAUAUGUGUAAGUAACUGUGCACAUCUUGACGGUACCUAAUCAGAAAGCCACGGCUAACUACGUG